CUUGUCCGACGCACCGUAAAGUAAACAGAUUUUUCCACAGCCAGAAAAGCCACGGGCGCCAACCGAUUCCAGCCAGUUAUCCACAAUGAAUUGCACAACUUUUACUGCCGUUUUGCUGAUUUCUUGCAGCACGCUGAGUGCGUAUGGCGUAUUCGGUGAAACCUGCGCGGAACUCAAAGCACGGUGUUUGGAAUACCAGAGAAAUGAAACCUCCAGUGUGAUGCAGAUACGCUUAGUGGGGAAUGUGGAAUCCAACCCAGUAUGGCCCGUUCCCGAAGCACUUCUUGAAGAAUCCCGCCAUCUUGGCGACGCGCAUUGCCGGCUGAUUAACAAAAGCGGCCCUUGCCGAAAAGAGCUAUUAACUCGGUGCCCAGACUCAGCCCCAGAGUAUCGCGACAAUCGCACCGAUGGAUGGUACACGGCCGAAAUGGUGACGGCCUUUACCAAAAUCUGCGACACCACCAUCGGAGCAGUCAAAUUCCAUCGCGCUGCUGCCCACUGUCUGUGGAAAGCUGAGGCACUGUUGCGGUCUUGUUGCAUCAUCGGACCGGUACCGGAGGAGAUGGCACUCCACUGAAAAACGCAGCUGCUGCUCACCAGACAUUUUGCCGAAUGCUUGAUGAAGUUCUGGAGCGCACAAAUGGCUCCCAAGGCACCGAACUGGCUGCAAAGUGUGGACAAGACGUUGUGGACAUAAUCAAGGAAGGACACAAGCAGAUGCAUAACGCUCACUGCUCUACCUGAGCGCAUCCGCUAGUUUUAGUUAGCAUUCUUUCCUGUUACUUGUUAAUUUUGUCUAGAAACAGCUUACUAACAGAAUAUAAACAAGUGAUAAAUUUAUCCCAAGUGACUUAUCCCAAUUUAUCCCAAGUGAAUGCGCUGGCUCAUAAAUUUCAGCGUAAUUCUUCCUUCGGAACAAACUCUCCUCUCAUAACUUUUGUAUAUUGCUCUGAGGUGCUUUUACUGAAACGUACGGCUGCCUUGUUCCAGUUUUUAUUUCUGUAAUAAUCCACUGUACAGAAACGGCAAAAUGUAAAGUUGUAAUAUUUCCACCAAAAUAAUGCAGAUAAUAAUAUAAUGUAAAACUUACACCCAUAAAAUAACAAGCAAAGACGGUUUAGCAAACACUUUGGUGCGUAUUUGUGAUAAAAUUAAAGUAUUAUUUUAAUUCUCAAAUAAAUAAUAGUGCCUUUCUCAACUGGAAAGUAAUCAUCCAAAAAAUCAAACCACGUUUUAAUCUUAUGCAGACAUCGAAAUGUCAAAUUCUGAACUUGACGAGAUUAAAAGCAAAAAAAUCUGAAACCAGCGACAACUACGAGAUUUGUAACUGUAAUCUGUUUAAUAGGGUUCAUUAUCGUUGCAAACUAUUUCGCAGCUGCGG